rnacentral:lncRNA from 1 species
UAGUGGAACUCAAUAUAAAAUAUUUGAUCCCAAUAUAAAUUUAGUGGAACUCAAUAUAAAAUAUUAAAUACAAUGCUAAACAUGAAGGUGGUAAAUAUAUGAAUAGUAAAAGUGGCAAUGAUAUAAUAAAUAUACAAAUUGUUAUUACAUAAUACAAGAAAGGCAAUAUUUUCAAGAGUGGCUGAUAUUUCAAGUGGCAAAAACUACCUCAAUUCAUUUGUAAAAUAAAACAA